rnacentral:rRNA from 7 species
UUAAGCGACUAAGCGUACACGGUGGAUGCCCUGGCAGUCAGAGGCGAUGAAGGACGUGCUAAUCUGCGAAAAGCGCCGGCGAGGUGAUAUGAACCUUUGACCCGGCGAUGUCCGAAUGGGGAAACCCAGUGCAAUCCGUUGCACUAUCGUUAACUGAAUACAUAGGUUAACGAGGCGAACCGGGGGAACUGAAACAUCUAAGUACCCCGAGGAAAAGAAAUCAACCGAGAUUCCCCCAGUAGCGGCGAGCGAACGGGGAGCAGCCCGGAGUCUGAAUCAGCUUGUGUGUUAGUGGAACGGUCUGGAAAGUCCGACGGUACAGGGUGAUAGUCCCGUACACGAAAGCACACUUGCUGUGAACUCGAAGAGUAGGGCGGGACACGUGGUAUCCUGUCUGAAUAUGGGGGGACCAUCCUCCAAGGCUAAAUACUCCUGACUGACCGAUAGUGAACCAGUACCGUGAGGGAAAGGCGAAAAGAACCCCGGCGAGGGGAGUGAAAAAGAACCUGAAACCGUGUACGUACAAGCAGUGGGAGCCUCUUUAUGGGGUGACUGCGUACCUUUUGUAUAAUGGGUCAGCGACUUAUAUUCUGUAGCAAGGUUAACCGUAUAGGGGAGCCGAAGGGAAACCGAGUCUUAACUGGGCGUUAAGUUGCAGGGUAUAGACCCGAAACCCGGUGAUCUAGCCAUGGGCAGGUUGAAGGUUGGGUAACACUAACUGGAGGACCGAACCGACUAAUGUUGAAAAAUUAGCGGAUGACCUGUGGCUGGGGGUGAAAGGCCAAUCAAACCGGGAGAUAGCUGGUUCUCCCCGAAAGCUAUUUAGGUAGCGCCUCGUGAACUCAUCUUCGGGGGUAGAGCACUGUUUCGGCUAGGGGGCCAUCCCGGCUUACCAACCCGAUGCAAACUACGAAUACCGAAGAAUGUUAUCACGGGAGACACACGGCGGGUGCUAACGUCCGUCGUGAAGAGGGAAACAACCCAGACCGCCAGCUAAGGUCCCAAAGUCAUGGUUAAGUGGGAAACGAUGUGGGAAGGCACAGACAGCCAGGAUGUUGGCUUAGAAGCAGCCAUCAUUUAAAGAAAGCGUAAUAGCUCACUGGUCGAGUCGGCCUGCGCGGAAGAUGUAACGGGGCUAAACCAUGCACCGAAGCUGCGGCAGCGACGCUUAUGCGUUGUUGGGUAGGGGAGCGUUCUGUAAGCCGUUGAAGGUGUCCUGUGAGGGGUGCUGGAGGUAUCAGAAGUGCGAAUGCUGACAUAAGUAACGAUAAAGCGGGUGAAAAGCCCGCUCGCCGGAAGACCAAGGGUUCCUGUCCAACGUUAAUCGGGGCAGGGUGAGUCGACCCCUAAGGCGAGGCCGAAAGGCGUAGUCGAUGGGAAACAGGUUAAUAUUCCUGUACUUGGUGUUACUGCGAAGGGGGGACGGAGAAGGCUAUGUCAGCCGGGCGACGGUUGUCCCGGUUUAAGCAUGUAGGCGGAGGUUCCAGGUAAAUCCGGUACCUUGUUAACGCUGAGGUGUGAUGACGAGGCACUACGGUGCUGAAGUGAUAAAUGCCCUGCUUCCAGGAAAAGCCUCUAAGCAUCAGGUAACACGAAAUCGUACCCCAAACCGACACAGGUGGUCAGGUAGAGAAUACCAAGGCGCUUGAGAGAACUCGGGUGAAGGAACUAGGCAAAAUGGUGCCGUAACUUCGGGAGAAGGCACGCUGAUAUGUAGGUGAAGUCCCUGCGGACGGAGCUGAAAUCAGUCGAAGAUACCAGCUGGCUGCAACUGUUUAUUAAAAACACAGCACUGUGCAAACACGAAAGUGGACGUAUACGGUGUGACGCCUGCCCGGUGCCGGAAGGUUAAUUGAUGGGGUUAGCGGCAACGCGAAGCUCUUGAUCGAAGCCCCGGUAAACGGCGGCCGUAACUAUAACGGUCCUAAGGUAGCGAAAUUCCUUGUCGGGUAAGUUCCGACCUGCACGAAUGGCGUAAUGAUGGCCAGGCUGUCUCCACCCGAGACUCAGUGAAAUUGAACUCGCUGUGAAGAUGCAGUGUACCCGCGGCAAGACGGAAAGACCCCGUGAACCUUUACUAUAGCUUGACACUGAACACUGGUCCUUGAUGUGUAGGAUAGGUGGGAGGCUUUGAAGCGUGGACGCCAGUCUGCGUGGAGCCAACCUUGAAAUACCACCCUUUAAUGGCUGGUGUUCUAACGUAGACCCGUAAUCCGGGUUGCGGACAGUGUCUGGUGGGUAGUUUGACUGGGGCGGUCUCCUCCCAAAGAGUAACGGAGGAGCACGAAGGUUGGCUAAUCCUGGUCGGACAUCAGGAGGUUAGUGCAAUGGCAUAAGCCAGCUUGACUGCGAGCGUGACGGCGCGAGCAGGUGCGAAAGCAGGUCAUAGUGAUCCGGUGGUUCUGAAUGGAAGGGCCAUCGCUCAACGGAUAAAAGGUACUCCGGGGAUAACAGGCUGAUACCGCCCAAGAGUUCAUAUCGACGGCGGUGUUUGGCACCUCGAUGUCGGCUCAUCACAUCCUGGGGCUGAAGUAGGUCCCAAGGGUAUGGCUGUUCGCCAUUUAAAGUGGUACGCGAGCUGGGUUUAGAACGUCGUGAGACAGUUCGGUCCCUAUCUGCCGUGGGCGCUGGAGAAUUGAGGGGGGCUGCUCCUAGUACGAGAGGACCGGAGUGGACGCAUCACUGGUGUUCGGGUUGUCAUGCCAAUGGCACUGCCCGGUAGCUAAAUGCGGAAGAGAUAAGUGCUGAAAGCAUCUAAGCACGAAACUUGCCCCGAGAUGAGUUCUCCCUGAGACCUUGAGUCUCCUGAAGGAACGUUGAAGACUACGACGUUGAUAGGUCGGGUGUGUAAGCGCAGCGAUGCGUUGAGCUAACCGAUACUAAUGAACCGUGAGGCUUAACCUU